AGAGUUUGAUCCUGGCUCAGGACGAACGCUGGCGGCGUGCCUAACACAUGCAAGUCAAGGAGAAACGGGUAGCAAUAUCCGGAGUAAACUGGCGCACGGGUGAGUAACGCGUAGGCAACCUGCCUUCAGGACGGGGAUAACUCAGCGAAAGUUGGACUAAUACCCGAUGAUAUUCCGGCAUAGCGUUAUGCCGGGAUCAAAGCCCGCAAGGGUGCCUGCAGAUGGGCCUGCGUCCCAUUAGGUAGUUGGUGAGGUAACGGCUCACCAAGCCCACGAUGGGUAGCUGGUCUGAGAGGAUGAUCAGCCACACUGGAACUGAGACACGGUCCAGACUCCUACGGGAGGCAGCAGUGAGGAAUAUUGCGCAAUGGCCGAAAGGCUGACGCAGCGACGCCGCGUGAGGGAUGAAGUCCGUUAGGAUGUAAACCUCUUUUGCAGGGGAUGAAUGUCCCGAUCUGUCGGGAUUGACAGUACUCUGCGAAUAAGGAUCGGCUAACUACGUGCCAGCAGCCGCGGUAAUACGUAGGAUCCGAGCGUUGUCCGGAUUUACUGGGUGUAAAGGGCGUGUAGGUGGACCUUUAAGUCGAUGGUGAAAUCCUGCGGCUCAACCGCAGAAUUGCUUUCGAAACUGGAGGUCUUGAGUGCGGCAGAGGGAGAUGGAAUUCAUGGUGUAGCGGUGAAAUGUGUAGAUAUCAUGAAGAACACCGGUAGCGAAGGCGGUCUCCUGGUCCGCAACUGACACUGAGGCGCGAAAGCGUGGGGAGCGAACAGGAUUAGAUACCCUGGUAG
rnacentral:rRNA from 1 species